rnacentral:tRNA from 1 species
GGCUUCGUAGUUUAAAGGAUAGAAUUUGAGAUUCCGGUUCUCAAGGUGUGGGUUCGAUUCCCGCCGAAGUCG